rnacentral:rRNA from 1 species
ACUCCUACGGGAGGCAGCAGUGGGGAAUAUUGCACAAUGGGCGCAAGCCUGAUGCAGCCAUGCCGCGUGUGUGAAGAAGGCCUUCGGGUUGUAAAGCACUUUCAGUCGUGAGGAAGGUAGUGUAGUUAAUAGCUGCAUUAUUUGACGUUAGCGACAGAAGAAGCACCGGCUAACUCCGUGCCAGCAGCCGCGGUAAUACGGAGGGUGCAAGCGUUGUCCGGAUUUAUUGGGUUUAAAGGGUGCGUAGGCGGGUCUUUAAGUCAGUGGUGAAAGCCUGCAGCUCAACUGUAGAACUGCCAUUGAUACUGGAGGCCUUGAGUGUACUAGAGGUAGGCGGAAUUUAUGGUGUAGCGGUGAAAUGCAUAGAUACCAUAAAGAACACCGAUAGCGUAGGCAGCUUACUGGAGUACAACUGACGCUGAGGCACGAAAGCAUGGGUAGCGAACAGGAUUAGAUACCCUGGUAGGAUAGCGU